AUCAACAUUAGAGGAAUCCAUCAACCAAUCAAUGAGAGCUCAAACCUCUUUCAUUCACAGCUUCUCCCUCUCUUUGGGUUCCACCCUCCCAUCCAUCGGCAAAAUGUACAUUGCACUGUGGUAUUUUUAUACAUCCUAAUUUAAACCAAAACAUGAAAAAGGUUUACAUAAUAAAAAAUGAUAAUUAACAUUUGCUAAGAUUCCGCCAUGCACUGGGAAUUCUGAAUCCCUUAUUAGCUUCACCGUCUCUGUAAUAGACCAGUGACGGGGUUGUUAUUGGUCCCAUUUCAUCAAUGAGGAAGCCAAGUCUUAAAGAGGCAGGGCUGAUCCCCCAGCCAGCUGUCUCCAUGAGAACGGAAGCCGGUGCUCAUCCAUCCUGGUAGUACAUGCUUUAUAGGAAGGAAGCAAAUGCCCACGGACACACAGGUAAACGGUUCAAAGGAUCAGGGUCUCUGGUUUCCCUGGUUACCCACUCCUCCAUCCACUGCCCAUUAGGUUGCUGGGGAAUUUCAGGCAUGCGCAGGUGGCCCCUGUGGCCGGCACUGGGACCUUCAUCAGGAAUGUGUUUGACAUCCUUUUUCCUUCUGUUGUCUUAAGAACAAGUAGAACGGGACUAGAAAGCUGUGACUCCAUCUCAUCCCCACAGGGCUGAAAGCAGUGUUGACAGAAAACAAGGGCUGAGAUGUGACGUCACAAGAGAGGCGGGCAGCCUAUGUGUUCCUGGGCUGUUGGGGUGAUUGAAACCUGAAAUCUCUAGAAGCUUCUCUCCUAGAGAUCAGCAAGCUUCUUUUUUGGCUCAGACCACCUCACCCUUCCUGAUGCUCACAGCUUGAGAUUUACCUCAGAGUCGGAACUUAGGUACCUCUUUCUACUUAGGUUCCCUUAGAAAGGGAAUAAAACGUCUGUAUGUGCUAUUCCCCUGUGGCAGAGUGGCAGACACUAAGAAGAUGCAAUAGUACAUGGAGGAGGGCUCCUGCAAUGACAUGGGAGACAGAGACAGAAGAGUCACCUAGAAGCUUGCAGGUCAGCCGGCAUGGAAGAUAAGACAGAGGAGCAGGCAAGAGAGGUCCUCAAAGCAAGGUAGAAGGCGAAGAUGGACUCCUAGAAGCUGUCCUCUGAUGUAUGUGUGUCUUCUGGACAUGGGUACCUGUACUCACCCCCCUUCUGAGAGGCGGGGGAGAGACAAAGAGAGAGAGAGAGAGAAAGAGAGAGAGAGAGAGAGAGAGAGACAGAGACAGAGACAGAGACAGAGACAGACAGACAGACAGACAGACAGAGAGAGAGACAGAGAGACAGAGACAGAGAGAGACAGAUUUGUUUAUAAAUUUUAAAUUUUGUGCAGGCACAAACUUAAAAUUUUAAGCUUUCAAUUCAACACUCAUUACAGUUCUUCUGUAACACCUUUGCAGUACAGUUUUUUAUCUAAAGAUCCCUCAUACUUGGUUCUGAUCAACAGCUACAUUGGCAUCACUGAUUCGAACCUACGGAGAAAGAAUCCCCAGUGGAAGAUUGAUGUUGAAUCUAAGUGAUGUCACGUUGUUUUAAAGUGUCAUUGAAAUCACCUUGAACUUAACUCCUUCCCUCCACUCUCUUACCACCGCCCCAUUACCCACACACUGUAACUCUGUUCCUUUCCCAGAAACAGUUUGGCAGUGAUCACAAGACGUUUUGCCCUCAGUAAAGCUCGAGUCACGAAGGACCGCGGGAUCAAAUGAUGUCAUAGGUCUUGCCUCACUCACAGGCAUCUGCUUCUUGGGAGGAGGCACCAACUGAAGGUCAGAGGGGUACAAAACAGCCACACCAAAGUGGUCUGGUUGAGGUCACCAGUCAACACCAGCUCCUCCCUUGCUCAUUGCCAGCUGAUCAUGAUGGGGGUGCUGUGUGCCUUGACAACGUGAAGGCCAAACGUGUGAUGGCCUCUCACUCCUUCCUGGGAUGCUGAAGGUGGCUGGACCACUCUCCAUUUGAUGGCCACUUAUACCAUGGGGAACGGGAACUAAGGCAGUUUUACUGAUCAACGAACGGAACUGGGGCUGGAGAGAUGGCUCAGUGGUUAGGAGCACUUGCUGCUCUUGCAGAGGUCCUGAGUUACCUUCUCAGCACUCAUGUGGUAUUCAAGGCAUCCAGUACCCUCCUCCGCCCUUUGUGGAAACGCAGCUUCACACAAGUCACACACACAUAGUUAAGAAUAAAAUAAAGCUUAAAGCAAGUAAGCACGCAAACACACAAGCCCAGUACUGACCCACUGCUUGAAGAUAAACAGGGGGAUGCUAGAAAGAAAAGUGCCCAUCUAUUGCAUGUGUAUGCAUGGCUGUUCCUCCCCCAUUUACUGCUGCUUAAAGAGCAUUCCAAUUUCUCUUUCCUCUGGCUAAGGAGUGAGUAUCUCUAAGGUGUAUAUACCUCUGUUUUUUUAUACCCUGUAUAGUAGUUUUAGGUUGACAGAAAAUCUGGGCAGAAGCAACUGAGUUCUCAUAGAACUUCUGCACACCCUCCUACACACCCAGCCUCUUCAAGAACUUGUAUUUGCAAUGAGAACCUGCCUGGAUAUAGAAUAGCCACCGAAACUCUAUAGCUCAAAUCACUCAAGGCAUUGUCCAUCUGAGGAUUUAUCGCUGGUUUUAUUUUAUUCAUAUGCAUAGGUGGUGAUUUGAAAGAGAAAUGGCCCCUGUAGCCUCAGGUUUUUGAACACUUGGUUCCCAUUUGGUGGCACUGUUCAGGAGGUCACGUUUCAGCCUCAGGCUCCUGCUCCUUUGACUGCCCAUUGCUGCCCGGUCUCCUAGCCAUGAUGGAGUCCUAUUCAUCUGGAACCAUGAGCUAAAAUAAACUCUUCCCAACUCUUUUGGUCCUGGUUUUAGCACAGCAACAGAACUGUAACAAAUGUGUCAUUAUUUGUAUCUUUCAUGAGUGUGUGUACAGGUGGAGGACAGAAAAGGGUAUUGAACUGCCCCGAGUUGGAACUACAGGUGAUUGCGAUCCACCCAGUGUGGGUUCUGAAAACAGAACUUAGAGCCUCUGUCAUCCCUAUGUCAACUAGGUGUGGUCCAUCUACCAAACACCUUUAAAUAAUAAUACUGUUUGCAUCUGGCUUCUGUCAUCAGGACAGCUGGCCUCACGGUAUGUGGACAGAUACUCUUUUCAUUCUACCCAUCCUAACAAGUUCAGAAGAACCAUACUCACGGAUACAAAGUAAUCUGUCCAAGCUUUGGACACUAGAAGGAUGCAGCCGAAGGUCCCUGAUGCUCAAUGUGUCACUGUGUCUUAUCUUUAUUGCCUCCCCUAAAACCAAACUGUGACUCACUUGCUUGUUAAAUAUUUAACAAAACAUGAAUUCAUGCUCACACAGCACAGGCCAGGGCUGACAGAGGCCCUCUUUCGGAUCUUACAACUGGCUGGUACUUGAGAGACUGUCCACAUGCUAUUGACCUUGAUGGUGUAGCUUGUACCAACAUGUCCUACUGCAAGCAAACCUCUGCCAGGUGGAGAACUGCUCCAUAUCUGAGGAAGAAGACCUGAACACUGGAUCACCACAUACUUCAUUGUCAUUUAGUGGUAAACAUGGUACUUCUGGGCUUCCCCAGCUCCUGUUGGGAAUUCUAAGGGCACUGGAGGUCCAGGCCGAGAUUUGUUUGUAAUAUGCAGAUGUGAUGAGGCCUCUCCUGGACAGAGGCUUUACUCUGGGAGCUGUGGCUGUCUGUGGGUGAACUAUGAAGAAAGCUAAUACAAUUUCUGUCUGAAAUGCAA